rnacentral:rRNA from 1 species
AUACGUAGGUGGCGAGCGUUGUCCGGAUUUACUGGGCGUAAAGGGUGCGUAGGCGGAUUGGCAAGUCAGAUGUGAAAUACCGCAGCUUAACUGCGGGGCUGCAUUUGAAACUGUCGAUCUUGAGUGCAGGAGAGGUAAGCGGAAUUCCCAGUGUAGCGGUGAAAUGCGUAGAUAUUGGGAGGAACACCAGUGGCGAAGGCGGCUUACUGGACUGUAACUGACGCUGAGGCACGAAAGCGUGGGGAUC